AGAGAGAUUGUUUUAGUGUGUAUGACUUCAGGUUCGGGGAAUAAGUGAGGGCAACACAAUCGAGUAAAAUUACAGAGGCUCACGGUCCUUCUUACACGUGGCAGAAUAUCAGCCAUUGUUAUAACUUGGCUUUGUAGAUUUUCUGCUGCAUGAUUGGUCGGUCCCACGUUUGUCAUUAAAUAUGAUAUUUGAAGUCUGCAUGUCAUGUG
rnacentral:lncRNA from 1 species